AACUAACGCUGGCGGCGUGCCUAACACAUGCAAGUCGUACGAGAAAGUCGGCUUCGGCUGAUGAGUAAAGUGGCGCACGGGUGAGUAACGCGUGGAUAAUCUGCCCUUGAGUGUGGAAUAACGUACCGAAAGGUGCGCUAAUACCGCAUAAUGCCUGGCAACACAAGUUGUCCGGCCAAAGAAGGCCUCUGUUUACAAGCUUUUGCUCAAGGAUGAGUCCGCGUACCAUUAGCUAGUUGGUGGGUAACGGCCUACCAAGGCUACGAUGGUUAGCUGGUCUGAGAGGAUGAUCAGCCACACUGGAACUGAGACACGGUCCAGACUCCUACGGGAGCAGCAGUGAGGAAUAUUGCGCAAUGGGGGCAACCCUGACGCAGCAACGCCGCGUGAGUGAGGAAGGUUUUCGGACUGUAAAGCUCUGUCGAGCGGGAAGAAAUGUACCAUGGCUAAUAUCCAUGAUAUUUGACGGUACCG
rnacentral:rRNA from 1 species